CCUACGGGAGACAGCAGUGAGGAAUAUUGGUCAAUGGGCGCGAGCCUGAACCAGCCAAGUAGCGUGAAGGAUGACUGCCCUACGGGUUGUAAACUUCUGUUAUAAAGGAAUAAAGUGAGGCACGUGUGCCUUUUUGGAUGGACGUUAUGAAUAAGGAUCGGCUAACUCCGUGCCAGCAGCCGCGGUAAGACGGAGGAGCCGAGCGUUAUCCGGAUUUAUUGGGUUUAACGGGAGCGUAGAUGGGUUGUUAAGUCAGUUGUGCAAGUUUGCGGCUCCACCGUAAAAUUGCAAUUGAUACUGGCAGUCUUGCCUACAGUUGCGGUAGGCUGAUUUCG
rnacentral:rRNA from 1 species